AAUGAACGCUGGCGGCGCGCCUAAUACAUGCAAGUCGAGCGAGAAGACGUAGCAAUACGUUUGUAAAGCGGCGAACGGGUGAGGAAUACAUGGGUAACCUACCCUAGAGUGGGGAAUAACUAGCCGAAAGGUUAGCUAAUACCGCGUACGCUCCUUGGACUUCGGUUCAGGGAGGAAAGCGAUGCCGAGGGUAUCGCGCUCUUGGAUGGGCUCAUGUCCUAUCAGCUUGUUGGNGAGGUAACGGCUCACCAAGGCUUCGACGGGUAGCUGGUCUGAGAGGACGAUCAGCCACACUGGCACUGCGACACGGGCCAGACUCCUACGGGAGGCAGCAGUAAGGAAUAUUGCGCAAUGGGCGAAAGCCUGACGCAGCGACGCCGCGUGGGGGAUGACGGCCU
rnacentral:rRNA from 1 species